AUUGCACGCUAGCGGGAUGCUUUACACAUGCAAGUCGAACGGAGUGGAGGACGGGUGAGUAAUAUAUCUGAACGUGCCCAGUAGCGGGGGAUAACUACUCGAACGAGUGGCUAAUACCGCAUACUAUCAGUGCGGCCGAUAUCGGAUUAGCUAGUUGGUGGGGUAAAGGGUCACCAAGGCAACGAUCCGUAGCUGGUUCGAGCGGACGACCAGCAACACUGGGACUGAGACACGGCCCAGACUCCUACGGGAGGCAGCAGUGGGGAAUUUUGGACAAUGGGGGAAACCCUGAUCCAGCCAUCCCGCGUGUAUGAUGAAGGCCUUCGGGUUGUAAAGUACUUUUGGCAGAGAAGCGGUAUCUGCAGAAUAAGCACCGGCUAACUACGUGCCAGCCGCCGCGGUAAUAC
rnacentral:rRNA from 1 species